rnacentral:rRNA from 1 species
UGACGGUACCUGACUAAGAAGCUCCGGCUAAAUACGUGCCAGCAGCCGCGGUAAUACGUAUGGAGCAAGCGUUAUCCGGAUUUACUGGGUGUAAAGGGAGCGUAGGCGGUCUUACAAGUCUGAUGUGAAAGCCCGGGGCUCAACUCCGGUACUGCAUUGGAAACUGUAGGACUAGAGUGUCGGAGGGGUAAGUGGAAUUCCUAGUGUAGCGGCGAAAUGCGUAGAUAUUAGGAGGAACACCAGUGGCGAAGGCGGCUUACUGGACGAUUACUGACGCUGAGGCUCGAAAGCGUGGGGAGCAAACAGGAUUAGAUACCCUG